rnacentral:lncRNA from 1 species
UUUUUUUUUUCUUUCUUGUUCUUUCUGGCAUUUUUCCUUUUUUUCAUUCAUUGUCAGUUGGUUUUUCUUCUUCUUCUUUUUUCUGCUUGGGGUUGUUGUUUUGUUUUCCCCCUUUUUUCUACUUUUUCUUCUCAUAUUUGGUUAUUAUUACUUUUUCGUUUUUUUAUUUUCUAUUAUUUUUGGUAACAUACAGUGAACAUUCUUUAUUUUUUAUUAUAUAGUGAACAUUAUUCAAAUACAUACUUAACAUUUUUAGUAUAUGAUUAAUUUUUUUUAGCAACACUGAACAUUUUUAAUAUAUGAUGAAUUUUUAUAAUUAUAUGACACACUUUUUUGUGAGAGAAAUUUUCUGAUUUAUUCAUAAUCAUGACAGUACGGAGAAUACUAGAGAUAAUAAAAAUUACAAUCAGAUCCAUGGACCACCUAGCAACGACUACAAGCACUUGAGCGAGCUGAAGGCGCCGCAGUCAUCGCCCCUCCUUAACCGAGUCGGGCCAACCUCGUUGUAGCAGACAGUCGGGAAGUCGUCAUGCUAAGGCCCCAAAGGACUAGCGCACCAGAGCCGCAACCAUCGCCGAUGAAUAUAGUUGUAGAUCAGAACGAUCAAACCUAUAACCACACGAACGAAGACGAACUGGGUCCAAAUAGAUCCACCAAAGACCAGUACCGACCGAAUCCCGCAAAAUUCGACGGAGACACACCUCCAGACAUCCUCUGACAACGCUAUUCACACCAUCAAAACGGGGAUAGAAUAUGGGAGCCAUUAUUUCUACACACUUAAAAUUUUCCAAAAUACGAAAAACUAUUUAAAUAUAUUGAACUUUACUUUCUAAAGUAUAUUUUGAAAACACAUACUGAACAAUUUUCUAAAAUAUGUUUUUAUUUUAAUAGAUUUUUAAAUAUCCAUCUCCUAAAAACAACAUUCGAUCUUUUGGUGAAAGGCGGACUAAAAGCAGUAGAGAGAAAUAUAAAAAACAUCAUGUGGACAGAAUUGGCCAGCCCAUUUUAUCUGGCUUCUGGGGGAGCCUCCCCUAUUUGAUGCUCACAUGCACCUGACAGGAGCUCUCACCCAUGAACACACAGCGAAACACGACCUGUGGCUAAAAAGAGUGAAGCCCAUCCAUAUAUGAGCAGGCGGGCUGCGCCCGUGCACAAACCCGACGAGAGAUCCAAUCGUCCCCACCCUGCCGAAUCAUGAAGCCAAUUAGAUCUGACGAUGGCAAAAAUUCAGGUAGAUGGAGGCCUUUGACGGAAUGGCAGAGAAGGGGCAGCGGCUACGGUUUGCCGAGAUCAUACAUGACAGUUCCUUGGCUCAUCGGCAAUGGUUUUUAGUGAUAUUACUGAUCCACCAACCCUUGAAGCGCUUUCAUGCCAUGAAGCUCUAGCCCUUGCACUUGAUUUAUCUUUGGUUCAAGUUAUCAUCACGUGUGAUUGUGAUAUAGUUAUAUUCAGGGCUGGGCUCAUAGUGAUGCCAAAUGUGCGGCCCGCACAGGGCCCAUAAUUUCGAGGGGCCCCAAAUUUUUUAUAUAGGCAUAGUAUUUCUAAAAAAAAUGCCAAGGCUCUGCCGCACUGGGCCGCUCGGCGCUGGAGUUGGGCCAAGUCAAGGCCGUCGAGCGCUGGUGCCUCUAUCGCUUGAUGGAAAAAGGAUCGCUCGAUGUUCUCAGAAGAAGGAAACUGCUCGGUCUAAAAACAAGGGAUCGCUCCAGCAGUCGAUUGCGAUCGCCUCGAUCUGAAACCGCAAAAGCAGUCCCGUCCGCGGCGCAACACGAAAUGAGAUCGUCUCGUCGGUUAUCGCCUUCGCCUCAUCAGAGCGACAGAAUUGAGCUGUUGUCGUUGCCUUCCUCUCCCAAUUUUCUGGGAUCGAUACUUCGGUCCGCUGCAGUUCUUUCGCCGUUGAUACAGGAAACAAGAUCGCCUCAUCGGACCUAUCCAUGACCGACUGACCGACUCCAGCCUCCAGGUGCUCAGCGAAUCCUCCUUUCCGAUUAACUUCGGUUCCUACUCCUAAUUCCUAAUUUCCUAAUUAUUUUCAUAUGAAUCAUUACUUCGUUACAGAUUGGUUCUUACCUCCUCGGUUAAAGAUCACAGUCUAGUAGUUCAAGCGGACAAGACCCAAAACUAGAUGAGUUAGACGGUUCGUUUAAUUGCAAAAUAUUAACGCAUGAUCUUCAAUUGAUAUAUGAUAUUUUAUAACUUUUAUUCAUCUUUUUUAUCUCGUGUUUCAAUAAUACAGAUUUGAGUCAUCAUGAGGAAAAAUCAGUCUGGUCCAUAUAAGCGCAAGAGAAAAGAAAGAACAUAAUUUAAUUAGUACAUCUUAUAUUAUACACUAUAUAAAAAAAAUUCUGCGAGAUACAUAUACAUUAUAAUUUCUUGUUAGUUCAUUUUUAUAGCAAGAUAGGGCCCCUUUUUUAGUUUCGCACAGGCCCCGGAUUUUGCCGGCCCGGCCCUGGUUAUAUCAAGACUUGAACGAAGGGGAAAUACAGUAUUAUCUAUAAUACCUAAAUAGUUUAUCCCCACUAACCUAUUUCUCUUGACAUGCAAGCUAUCCACAUCAGCGGUCAUUCUCGUGCGGCCACGUCAGCACUACGUACAAGAGAAAAAAAAUCUAACGCCACAUCUGAUUCCACUCGGGCAAAAAAAAUCCACCACUCGCCUCCGCUGUAACUGGCGGGUCCUUUCACUGUCUUGAUGUCCCACGACCGCAAAUUGUUGAUCCCAACUCCCAAACUCCAUUCUAACACAUGGGUGUGCUGCACGAGAAUAUCUACCAUCCCAUGUUUUGUUGUGAGCUAGCCCCACAUAUCGAUCGCUGAAGCUAGCUCACCGAUUGCUUAUGCUAGCCCACAUAUGCCAUCGCAUGACUCAUGGUCAUUCGCACGGCUGUUACGUUCCAAUUCUUCAAUGACACCCACUAUUUCUCCACCAUCAUUUCACAAAAAACUGAAGGAAUUGCAGCAGUCGAGGACAUUGAUAGGUGAGCAGUCAUCUGCACUAUAAAAUCUGCCUCAAUUCUGCCUUCUUCACAAAUGCAUCGGUGUUUAGAUUUUGUAGCUAAGCCUUCUCUAUUGAAUUGUUUACUAAUAAAACUCUUUCGUGUAUUGGUUGGUAGUCUUUUUGUCUAGGUCCACGGCUUAGCAUUGGUUCAUAUUGGGGUCACCAUAAUGCUCUCUCUCUUCUUUAAUUGCUUUGCCACAUCAUUUUUCUGCCUAUGUGACACCCUUAACACCUGUACACCAUGAAGCACUGGGAAGGGCCUUACGGUAACCACAAUAUAGCCUUCUGCCUUCUAGCCUUAACGCUGCUGCAACCAUUGCCACAUGGUGUUGCCAUCAAAAACUUACGGCGGUGAAUCCAAUGCUUGAGUCUCGCACCGUGCUGAAAGGCAAUCAUCAGACCGGCAGUCUCCUCUAUUAUGGUGCAUAUAUAUGUGUGUUUAGUAUAUAGAAGUUUUAUUUAGGGGAGUAUAUAAAAUCUUUUGAAGGUGAUCAGUUCGCCACUAAAUGAAUUUUUUUGGCCUAUUUCCGUUCAAGCUGCUAAUGAGCUUCUCAUACGGGUCAUCUCGGCCUGUCAUUGUCGACGCUAAAUUUUUUUCAGCUGAUGUUUUUUCUGCAAGAAUUUUCACUCUUUUUUUUUGCUGCUAAAAUUUUCAGCUGAUAUUUUUUCCUGCAAGAAUUUUCACUUCAUACUUGAGAAAAAUUAGCUAGCUUCCAGUUAUGUAUUUUUUUUCUGAAACAUCUCCACGGGUAAGUACUAGAAAAGUUAAUUUGGUUUUUCUACAAAUAUGUAACUAACAAUUUGUUUUUUGGUUUCAUGCGGUGCAGCGUCAUGACUCCUAUCCAGAUUAUACAUUACUAUUUUGUCUACUUUAAUGGUCAUGGUCUUGCUGCCUUUAUUUUGCGGAUUUGAAAUUGCGUAGUACUCCCUCCGUCCUAAAAUUCUUGUCUUAGAUUUGUCUAAAUACGGAUGUAUGAAGUCACAUUUUAGUAUUAGAUACAUCCGUAUCUAGACGAAUCUAAGACAAGAAUUUUGGGACGGAGGGAGUACUAAGGAAGAGGAUAGACAUCAUUGCAUGUUUAUAAAAUGUUGUAAGAUCAAAUUGUCCUAUAACAAUCGGCCAUGUGUACAAUGAGAUGGUCUUUCCCUCCCCCUACUGUGUGUGAAUAUGUCCAGAUCUAAUUAGUUGUUUUGGUGAAUUCUAAGUAUAAGCACCCAGAAUACCAGCAGAAUAUUACUGUGCUUAAAUUUUUAUUUACAUUGUUAAUUGUUUACACCGAAAAAUGAAGUCAACAACAAAUCUUUCGGUACAUUUUAGGGAUGAUAUGUUUGACCAUCCAACAAUAUAUCGUAUUAUUGAUCGUAUUAUGUCUCCUUUUUAUAUCUCCUUGAUACAUGUAUAUGUAUAGCUAAACAUAUCCCGCAGCAACAUGCGGGUUAUCAUCUAGUUAUCAAGGAGAUUGCAGCCCAAGCUCAAGACUUCACUAGGUGUGAGUUCAUUUUUUUUAAGGGCGGCAGAGGGAUGUUGAUGCUCAACUUAGCUAAAUUUGUUGCUAGUUUAGAUGCUGGUCGCCACUUGUGGCUGGGUCUUCCCCAUAACCCUUUUGUUAUUCCUGUAAAACGUACUCCUAGUCAAUAAAAGUUGGUUUACCGCUCAAAAAUAUAUACUAGAUCCGACGAUAGAUCAAGUGAAUGUGACAUAAUUUAAAACUCAGCUAAAUCUAUUUUCUAUAGCAUUUUUUGUCAAGUUUACGCGGCGUGUUAUUUCUUCAUGAAACUUCAUAAAUUGGCAAUGCACGUUGCAACUUUUUCUAAAUUUGUUUUUGAUUUUACAUUUUUUUCAUUGAUUGCUUACCAAGCAAGCCGCUUAAUUGAUUUUACUAUCCAUAGAGAUAAGAGAUACGUAUCUACCAUGUUUGAAAAUAGUGCCCUGAGAGCAACUCCAAUAGCUCCCAUGUCUCAAAAAAACUAUUGUUUAUAAAAAGUUGAAGAAAAAAAGACCUUUAAUAGCUUCCAUAAACCUGAUUCUUUUUACGGAUCCCGUAAAGACACCUCCUCCAUCCUUCAUGUUACCGUAAAAUAGUUUUCCCGUAUAAUUUUGGCUAGCGGAUAACCGUCUGAAAUUUUAUGAUGAGCGCCGCACCGCCAUUCUGGCACGCCGUCCAGCGUCGUCGUGCCGGGCCGCCACCUCACCAUAGCCCCUCUGCUACCGCCACCGCCACGCCGCCAUGGCGCCUCACCGCUCGCCCCUUUGCCGAUCCUUGAUGUCUACUACACAACUUGUUUUUAGACUUGGGCCAGAGUUUUGUAGGACAGUAGCAAUUUUCUCUCAAGUUGAUGACCUAAGGUUUAUCAAUCCAUGGGAGGCGUAGGAUGAAGAUGGUCUCUCUCAAACAACCCUGCAACCAAAUAAUAAAAAGUCUUUUGUGUCACAACACACCAAAUACAAUGGUAAAUUGUACAGGUGUGAUACAAGUGUAGUAAUGAUAGUAGAUAUUGAUUUUUAUAAUAGUAACAAUAAAAAACAGCAAGGUAACAGUAACGAAAGUGAGCACAAACGGUAUUGCAAUGCUUGAAAAUGAGGCAUAGGUUCGUACUUUCGCUAGUGCAAUCUCUCAACAAUACUAAUAUAAUUGGAUCAUAUAACCAUUCCUCAAUGUGCGAUGAAGAAUCACUCCAAAGUUUUUAUGUAGUGGAGAACAUAAGACGAAAUUGUUUAUAGGAUAUGAAACCACCUCAAAGUUAUUCUUUCCGAUCAAUCUAUCCAAGAGUUCGUACUAAAAUAACACCAAGUUAUCAUUUCCGAUCGAUCUAUCUAAGAGUUCGUACUAGAAUAACACGAUAUGAUACACAUCAACCAACUCUAAUAUCACCUAGAUACUCCAAUGUCACUACGAGUAUCCGUGAGUUGAUUAUACGAUAUGCAUCAAACAGUUUCAGAUUCAUAAUACUCAAUCCAACACAAAGAACCUCAAAGAGUGCCCCAAGAUUUCUACCGAAGAAACAAAGACGAGAACGUGCAUCGACCCCUAUGCAUAGAUUACCCCAAUGUCACAUCAGGAAUCCGCGAGUUGAGUGCCAAAACACACAUCAAGUGAAUCAAUAUGAUACCUGUGACGCCCGGAUAUUUAAGCUACAGUAAUUCCCUACUAAUGGUGCCAUGUCAUCACAUUACUGUUGCUAAUCCUCGCUUGAUCUAAAUCGUAGGUCAAACUCAAAUUCAAAUUAAAGCCCAAAUAUCAAAUUUCUCAAACAUGCAAGAUAAAAUAUUCAAAGUGUGGCAAAUUUUCCAUAGCUAAUUAUGGUGAUGAUACGCCAUUUUUGUAAAGUAUUUAAAUGCCCUUUUGUGAAUGAAAACAGUAGCUAACACAAUUAGUUGAAUGCCUUUCCUAAUUUUAAAAUGUUAAACUAUUUUAUUUAGGAGUAAAGGUUAAUGUGGCAGUGGACUGAUUAUUGAUACUAAUUUAGGGUCUAACUUGAUAUUUUAUAAAAAUAAAAUAAAGCUAAAAACUAAUAAGAGGAACAAAGAAAUGUAAAGAAGAUUAGAGAAGGAGAAAACCCCUGGGCCUUAGCCACCGAACAGGCCCAGGUGGCCUAGCCCAGCUCACUCCUCCGCGGUCGUCCCGGUCCCCUGUUCAACCGACCGAGGCGCGCGCUCAGACCACCUCGCCUCCCCGCGUCUUGCCGCCGAGGAGAUAAGGCCGAGCCCCCUCGGUCCCGUCAUCCUCCCAGAGAUCUUUUCCUCCUCACCCACUCCCUCUCCCCUCUCCCCUCACCUUCUACGCCCCUCCACCGGGCGUUGUCGCCGCCGCGGCACCUCCGUUGGCGUGGCCACCGGCCACCAUUCGUCGUCCUCUGGAGCCCCAGAGGACCUACAUCGUCGUCUUCGUCGCCUACACUGCUGGAUCGGGCCCGGGGGACCACCUCGGUGACGCACGCAUCGACUCCUUCCCCCUCGGCCACCACCGCCAUCGCUGUCGAUCUGCACCUCCCGAACCCUCCGGCUUCACCAAGCACCACCCGCGAGCAUCCUGGUGAGCCCCAACUCCCGCUCGACCUCCCCUUGCCUUCCGCCGUACCCCAUAGCCGUCCUGUCGUCGAACACUGCUCCCCACGCCCGAUGUCCCGCCCCUGCUGCAGCCCAGCCCGCGCUUUGCCACGCCGCACCUGCUCCCUCCGUCGCCUGCUGCGGCUGCGCGUGCGCCGCCUGCGCCCUGCACGACCUCGCACAGCGCCCGCUACUCAUCACACCUGCACCCGCGCCGUGCGCGCCGUGGCCGCAAUCGCCUGUAGCCGCUCGACAACGUUGACAUCGCCUCUCCCCGCGCUGCUCGCCUGCUAUGCUGCUGUUGUCGCUGCUGCACGCGCGCGCGUGCUCGAACCGCAGCAGCGCCUGCCGCCGCUCGCGCCGCCUGACGCCGCUCCCUUGCGUCGGCGUCCCCGCGCCUUCCCUUGCGCCCACCCGCGUUCGCGCCUUGGCCGGCCCCGGCGUCGCGCGCUUGCUGCGUACGUGGGCCGCUCGCUCGCGUCAUGGUGUUCGCGCACUGCAUCGCCCGCGCCACGGCUCUGCCCAUCGCUCCUCUACAUGUACCACUACUAGCUACUGUACAUGUUGCUAGCUUUUCUAUUUUCACAAUGACUAACCCUCUUGACAGCCUCUGAUCAACGGUUAAACAACUACUAACAGGCCUAAAAAUAAUAUGUGUAGAAAGUAUACGUGACAAACUCUAUUUUAUCCCACUGGACCAAAUCCUUUUGAUGAAUAGUUUAAAUCCUACAAAAAUCACAAAAUGACUUCUUAUGUUAAUAACUCCUAGCCUACUAACUUGUGUGUGCGUCGUGCAUGUGGCCGUAGUGACCGGCCCUUGCUUAGAUUAGUACUACUAGGUGUUAAUUAGUGGCUAGAAUAGUCUAUGUACAGAUGACACGUGGCCCCUUUUAUUUACAAGCCUAAUUAAUAGUUUGUGCCAAUGACAAGUAGGGCCCAAUGCAUUGUUCAUUGGUUGACUAGUAAAAGUGUUGACUGAGUCAACCCAGCUCCUUGACCCCGCAUGUCCUUGAGUGUGGCUAGCCCCCUGCUGAGUUAAAAAAAAUCAUUUCACUGUUUGUCAUUCGAAUUAAAUAAAUUAAAGAUUCUUUAAAUUUUAGAAAAUCAUAUAAAAUAAUCCAUAACUCCGAUGAAAAUGUUUUAUAUAUGAAAGUUGCUCAGAAAAAUCCAAUAAACCCGAAUAUGCUGUCCGUUCAUCUGUCACAUGCCCCUAGCAUGCUGAACAUAGAACUUUUCCCCUCUUUCCUUUGUCCGAAAAACGCCAAACACCGGAAAACCUCCGGAUGUUUUCCCUCUCCGUCUGCAACGCGUAUGAAAGAACAUGCGGUGCCCCCAUGUUUGGUUUUGGUAAUUGAUUACAAUCUCUAUGGACUAAUGGUUGCCUUGAGUUACAUUUGAAGGAUUUGUCCAUAGGCAUUUCUUGAAGUUCAUGUGUUGGUUUCAAGGAGUUUAUGUGGUGACCAAGGUGUUAUUAAGGAAUUAUCCAAAGAUUGGUCAUGUGAGAGUUGAGCUUAUUGCAAGCAUGUCUUGGAGAAGAAGAUUGUGUGAUCAUUCAUGUAUAUCUUCAAGACAUCAUCCAAAUGAAGAGAGUUGAAAAGAUUCAAGGUUGAUCAAGAAUAAGUCAAGAGUGAAUCAACUUGAUCAACUCACAAAGCGUAGAAGAUGUACCGAGAGGGAUCAAGCGAUCCCAUGGUGUGGUAAGCAUUGUCAAUUACGCUUUGUGUACUAACCCAUGAUCUUCGUGAGAGUUAUUUGUGGGGUUAGGUUGCGGUGUGCAAGUUCAAGUGAAGCAUCAUGAAGAGAUCAAAUGCUUGAAGCUUGCCGUCCAUUGUGGUGACAAUGGACUUGUGAAGAUGUGCGGAAGAGUGGCUCACCCAUAGUGGAGUAUGGGGGAGCAAUCAACUAGUCUUCAUCGAGCCAACACAACCAAGAAAGGUGGUCCAACUUGAGGGAGUCAAGAUCGUCAUCAUCUAGCUCAAGUGGACCAUGUGCAAGGCAAAGGUUUGCCCUUGAUAGGUUUUCUAUUUUACCGGUCUCAUGAUGGUAGUUGGGAGACCGGGUUAUAGGAUCGAUUGCCGUACUAUCAAGGGGGGCUCUCGAUGAGUAGCUUGAUCAUAUCAUUCGUAGAGAGCUCAAACCAUUGCAUCCUUGCAUCAUCUUUAUUGGUUCUUGUUUGGUUCUUCUCUUUGUGAGUUUUGGAGCUUAUGGUCAUCUUGAUGACAAGCUCGAAUUCAUCGAAAACGGAGUUCACUCGCAUCUUCUAUGAUGUUUUCGAUGUUGGAGGUUAUGCCGGUUCUUCUCGGUUGGAGGUUUCACUCCUCUAUUUGUUGGCAUACCUCCCCUGCCUCUUCUUACUAUAAACAGUUGCUUUUUUGAUGCUACUCGUCUUCCUCUAUCCAACAAGCUUGAGUUUGCUCAAUUCGGAGCUCAUAUGCAGAAGUUAUGGCAGUUUUGGUCCCAGCGGUAGUACCGCGGGCCGGAGCGGUAGUACCGCGGGCCGGAGCGGUAGUACCGCUUGGGUGCUACAAGCGGUAAUACCGCUCCAGAGCGGUAGUACCGCUCCAGAGCGGUAGUACCGCUGGUAGCCCCCAGCCGUAGUACCGAUGCGGUCUCAUACUAGUACCGCCUCGAUUCGAGGGGUCUUUUUUCGUGUCGGGUUUUACAGUACUAGCCGCGGCAGUGGGGACCGUAGUACCGCUCAUUUGCGGUAGUACCGCCCUGCCACCGCGGUAGUACUGCUCUGGGCCCAGCGGCAGUACCACGAGGGGGAGCGGUAGUACCGCUUAUAGGGGCAAGCGGUAGUACCGCUCUCUGCGGGGCUGAAGUGGGGGUAACGGUUGGAUUGUUCCCCCCACUAUAUAAGGAGGUCUUCUUCCCCAAUGAACCUUAUCCUUUGAGCUCGUGUUCUUUCCCCAUUGUUGACCUUCUUCGAGCUUGCUAACUCUCAAUCCCUCCAUGGAUUCUUGCUAGUUUUUGAGGGAAAAGAGAGAGGAGAUCUAGAUCCACAUUUCCACCAAUCACUUUCUCCUCUUUGUGAGGGGAACCCCUUGGAUCUAGAUCUUGGAGUUCUUGGUGUUCUCCUUCUUGUUCUUCCUCUCUUUUUCCUCCCUAGCAUUAGUUGUUUCGGUGGGAUUUGAGAGAGAAGGACUUGGGCACUCCGUGUGCCCUUACCAUUGCAUUUGGUGCAUCGGUUUGAGUUCUCCACGGUGAUACGUGGAAGUUACAAGUUGAGAAGCUUAUUACUCUUGGGUGCUUGGUGCCCUUGAGCUUGUUCCUCUUGGGUGCUUGGGCGCCCUAGACGGUUGGUGGUGUUCGGAGCUCAAUCAUUGUGGUGUAAAGCUCCGGGCAAGCGCCGGGGUCUCCAAUUAGGUUGUGGAGAUCGCCCCGAGCAAUUUGACGGGUACCGGUGACCGCCCCCAAGGGUUGCCAAAGUGUACGGGUUCGGUGACCGCCCCCAAGGGUUGCCAUUUGUACGGGUUCGGUGACCGCCCUCAAGGGUCCCUUAGUGGAAUCACGGCAUCUUGCAUUGUGCGAGGGCGUGAGGAGAUUACGGUGGCCCUAGUGGCUUCUUGGGGAGCAUUGUGCCUCCACACCGCUCCAAACGGAGAUUAGCAUCCGCAAGGGUGUGAACUUCGGGAUACAUCGUCGUCUCCACAUGUCUCGGUUAUCUCUUACCCAAACCCUUUACUUAUGCACUUUACUUUGUGAUAGCCAUAUUGUUUCUUGUCAUAUAUCUUGCUAUCACUUAGUUGAUUAUCUUGCUUAGCAUAAGUUGUUGGUGCACAUAGGUGAGCCUAGUUGUUGUAGGUUUUGUGCUUGUCAAAUUAACCGCUAGGUUUAUUCCGCAUUUGUUCAAGCCUAAACCGUAAUUAUUUUAAAGCGCCUAUUCACCCCCCCUCUAGGCGACAUCCACGAUCUUUCAGCGUAGUACUGCGUUAGAACACCCCUAGCACCGCUUUUUGUCCUGUUGUGCUUUAUGAUGCUUUGUUUGCUUUAUAUUUAUUGUUUCUUCUCCCUCUUCUCUCUGGUAGACCCCGAGACCGAUGCUGCCCCUGUGAUCGACUACGUCGACGACGACCCCCUCCUUGCCAGAGCAAUCAGGCAAGCCCCCCCUUUGAUCAUUCCGAUAUCGCCCAUUCUAUUCUCUCAUGCUUGCAUUAGUUUUUGCUACUGUUAUUGUUUGCUCCUAUUCUGAUGCAUAGCCUGCUUUUGUAACCUGCUCAUUGUACCUUACCUGCUUAACCUAAACUGCUUAGUAUAGGUUGGUAAGUGAUCCAUCAGUUACCCCCACCUUGUCCUUGUUGCCCCUGCUUCAUCAUUGAAGACCGGUUCAACGGGAUCGAAGACCAGGCCCCGGCACCGCACAUCACUUUCCCCUUAGUUGCUCGACACUACUGGGUUACUAUCGAGUGCCGAGGGUGAGACCUCUACAGCACUUCUGAUGUUAACCCUGUAGUGUAGCUAUUCGGUCGUGGUCAUCGGGGGUGAUUCCGCCUUAACCACUUCCGAUACGACUCUGUCGUGCAACCCCUCAAGUGUGAACCUCGGGGGUGGUUCCUCUUACGUUCACCUUGAUGAUUACAUCGAGUGGAAUUCACCGGGGGUGAUUCCUCAGGUUUUCCCCUUGAUGUUUGGACACACGGAUACUUGGACUUUAUAGCUGUUACUUGGAAAGGCGGGUCGACCCUGAGGGGUACCCGCGAGUGAUGUGGAGACGGGUUGACCUGGAGGGUGCCCGCGAGAUAAUUACGAGGCGUGGCCGGGCAUUCCUAGCCCUUGCCGCAAGUCCUCGAGACGAGGCAACGGGGUCACAUCUUUCGUGAGUCUCUGCUUGUUACCGCGCGUUCCUAAUCCGCUACGAUUUGGAUAUUUGAUCCGAGGGGCCUCUCGUCUGAUAGCACUAACCAUCAUGUGGGCAUAGUAUGGGCGUUCUGCGUCGUAUGCAUCAGCCGCAGCUUAAUAGACGUCAGCGACUGAGCGGCGCGCGCCGGGUUGGACUGGUAAGCACCUGCCUUUUUUAAGGAGGUAGCUAGGUCUGCUCACCGGCCGCCCUUGCAACGUGCAGGAGUUCCCGGGGCGAUGGCCCAUGACCCCUGGGGGCAUAGGUUUAGUCCGGUGUGCUGGCCUCUCUAUUAAGCCUAGGUCGGGUUGCGGCGUAUUGUUUGGCCGAGGCCGGGUGAAAGAUCGUGGAUGUCGCCUAGAGGGGGGGGUGAAUAGGCGCUUUAAAAUAAUUACGGUUUAGGCUUGAACAAAUGCGGAAUAAACCUAGCGGUUAAUUUGACAAGCACAAAACCUACAACAACUAGGCUCACCUAUGUGCACCAACAACUUAUGCUAAGCAAGAUAAACAACUAAGUGAUAGCAAGAUAUAUGACAAGAAACAAUAUGGCUAUCACAAAGUAAAGUGCGUAAGUAAAGGGUUCGGGUAAGAGAUAACCGAGGCACGCGGAGACGACGAUGUAUCCCGAAGUUCACACCCUUGCGGAUGCUAAUCUCCGUUUGGAGCGGUGUGGAGGCACAAUGCUCCCCAAGAAGCCACUAGGGCCACCGUAAUCUCCUCACGCCCUCGCACAAUGCAAGAUGCCGUGAUUCCACUAAGGGACCCUUGAGGGCGGUCACCGAACCCGUACAAAUGGCAACCCUUGGGGGCGGUCACCGAACCCGUCAAAUUGCUCGGGGCGAUCUCCACAACCUAAUUGGAGACCCCGACGCUUGCCCGGAGCUUUACACCACAAUGAUUGAGCUCCGAACACCACCAACCGUCUAGGGCGCCCAAGCACCCAAGAGGAACAAGCUCAAGGGCACCAAGCACCCAAGAGUAAUAAGCUUCUCAACUUGUAACUUCCACGUAUCACCGUGGAGAACUCAAACCGAUGCACCAAAUGCAAUGGCAAGGGCACACGGAGUGCCCAAGUCCUUCUCUCUCAAAUCCCACCGAAGCAACUAAUGCUAGGGAGGAAAAAGAGAGGAAGAACAAGAAGGAGAACACCAAGAACUCCAAGAUCUAGAUCCAAGGGGUUCCCCUCACAAAGAGGAGAAAGUGAUUGGUGGAAAUGUGGAUCUAGAUCUCCUCUCUCUUUUCCCUCAAAAACUAGCAAGAAUCCAUGGAGGGAUUGAGAGUUAGCAAGCUCGAAGAAGGUCAACAAUGGGGGAAGAACACGAGCUCAAAGGAUAAGGUUCAAUGGGGAAGAAGACCCCCUUUUAUAGAAGGGGAAAAAUCCAACCGUUAUGUGCUCAGCCCGCACACGAGCGGUACUACCGCUCCACGAGCGGUACUACCGCUCUGGCGGAAGAAGCAGGGAAAAGGAGCAACCAAACAAGAACCUUGGGGCGGUAGUACCGCUUAUAAGCGGUACUACCGCGCAUCCCAGCGGUACUACCGCUGGAGGAGCAGAACACGGGACCAAAAAUGCAGCAGCGGUACUACCGCCCGACCGGAGCGGUACUACCGCUUAUAGGCGGUACUACCGCCCAUCAGGGCGGUACUACCGCUUAUAGGUGGAACUGCCGUGCCUUACUGCCGUGCAACUACUGCAAAACUCGACACGAAAAAUGCAAGACCCAAAAUCGAGGCGGUACCAGCGCGGAACCGUAGCCGUACUACCGCUUAUGGCCAUAGGCGGUACUACCGCUUUGGACAGCGGUACUACCGCUUGGGGGGAUAAGCGGUACUGCCGCUCUGGCCGCGGUACUACCGCUAGGAAACCAAAACUGCCAUAACUUCUGCAUAUGAGCUCCGAAUUGAGCAAACUCAAGCUUGUUGGAUUGAGAAAGACGAGUAGCAUCAAAACAGCGACUGGUUAUAGUAAGAAGAGGCAGGGGAGGUAUGCCAAAAAAAUAGAGGAGUGAAACCUCCAACCGAGAAGAACCGGCAUAACUUCCAACAUCGAAAACAUCAUAGAAGAUGCGAGUGAACUCCGUUUUCGAUGAACUCGAGCUUGUCAUCAAGAUGACCAUAAGCUCCAAAACUCACAAAGAGAAGAACCAAACAAGAACCAACAAAGAUGAUGCAAGGAUGCAAUGGUUUGAGCUCUCUAUGAACGAUAUGAUCAAGCUACUCAUCGAGAGCCCCCCUUGAUAGUACGGCAAUCGAUCCUAUAACCCGGUCUCCCAACUACCAUCAUGAGACCGGUAAAAUAAAAAACCUAUCAAGAGCAAACCUUUGCCUUGCACAUGGUCCACUUGAGCUAGAUGGUGACGAUCUUGACUCCCUCAAGUUGGACCACCUUUCUUGGUUGUGUUGGCUCGAUGAAGACUAGUUGAUUGCUCCCCCAUACUCCACUAUGGGUGAGCCACUCUUCCGCACAUCUUCACUAGUCCAUUGUCACCACGAUGGACGGCAAGCUUCAAGCAUUUGAUCUCUUCAUGAUGCUUCACUUGAACUUGCGCACCGCAACAUCUUCAUAAGUCCAUUGUCGCCACAAUGGACGGCAAGCUUCAAGCAUUUGAUCUCUUCAUGAUGCUUCACUUGAACUUGCACACCGCAACCUAACCCCACAAAGAACUCUCACAAAGAUCAUGGGUUAGUACACAAAGCGUAAUCGACAAUGCUUACCACACCAUGGGAUCGCUUGAUCCCUCUCGGUACAUCUUGUGCGCUUUGUGUGUUGAUCAACUUGAUUCACUCUUGACUUAGUCUUGAUCAAUCUUGACUCUUUCCAACUCUCUUCAUUUGGAUGAUGUCUUGAAGGUAAACAUGAAUAAUCACACAAUCUUCUUCUUCAAGACAUGCUUGCAAUAAGUUCUACUCUCACAUGACCAAUCUUUGGAUAAUUCCUUAAUAACACCUUGGUCACCACAUAAACUCAUGACCAAUCUUUGGAUAAUUCCUUAAUAACACCUUGGUCACCACAUAAACUCCUUGAAACCAACACAUGGACUUCAAGAAAAGCCUAUGGACAAAUCCUUCAAAUAUAACUCAAGGCAACCAUUAGUCCAUAGAGAUUGUCAUCAAUUACCAAAACCAAACAUGGGGGCACCGCAUGUUCUUUCACCGGGCAUGACCCAGGAAAGUGUGUCCGGCCGGAGUUAAUCGAGCGUGGUGGGUAAGUUGGUGCACCCCUGCAGGGAAGAAAACAUCUAUCGAUAGCCUGUCCUACGGUAACGGACACUUGGAGUUGUAUCCCGAUCGAUACAACUAGAACUGGAUACUUGAGAUGAGACAUGGAUAUGAGGUGAUAACUGGAUAGUAUGGCUCUGGGAUUGCUUUCUCGCAGGGAGUCGAGAAAGGAUCUCUGGCUGAGGUUGAUAACACUUCUACUACCUUACUUUAUGCUACUCUACUCCCUCCUGUUGCUGCAAGAUGGUGGUUUUUAGAAGAUGCUAGUCUUCGAUAGGACUAGGUUCUCCCCUCUAUUCUGGCAUUUCUGCAGCCCAGUCCACAUAUACAGCCUUCCUUUGAUAAUGAUGCAUAUGUAGUGUAGAUCCUUGCUUGCGAGUACUUUGGAUGAGUACUCACGGUUGCUUUGCUACCCCUUUCCCCCCUUUCUUCUUCUUUUCGGUUGCUGCAACCAGAUGUCGGAGCCCAGGAGUCAAAUGCCACCGUUGAUGCCUACUACUACGUGGAGGCCGACGACGACUAGGAGUAGUUAGGAGGCUCCCAGGCAGGAGGCCUUGCCUUUUCGAUCGAUGUUGCUUUUGUGCUAGCCUUCUUAAGGCAAACUUGUCUAACUCAUGUCUGUACUCAGAUAAUGUUGCUUCCGCUGACUCAUGUGUAUUCGAGCUUAUGUAUUCGAGCCCUCGAGGCCCCUGACUUGUAAUAUAAAGCUUGUAUUAUUUUAAUUUGUGUCUAGAAUUGUGUUGUGAUAUCUUCCCGUGAGUCCUUGAUCUUGAUCGUACACAUUUGCGUGUAUGAUUAGUGUACGAUUGAAUCGAGGGCGUCACAAUACCCCAUUGUCACCACGGGUAUUCAUAGCAAGACAUACACCAAGUGUUCUCAAAUUCAUAGAAGUAUUCAAUCUGAUAAUAAUGAAAUCUCAAAAGGAAAACUCAAUUCAUCACAACGAGAUAGAGAGGAGAAAACACCAUAUGAUCCAACUAUAUUAACAAAGCUCACGAUACAUCAAGAUCGUGCCAAAUCAAGAACACGAGAGAGAUAUUAAACACAUAGCUACUAGUACAAACUCUCAGCCUUGAGUGUGGACUACUCCUUCCUCACCAUGGAGACCAUAGGGAUGAUGAAGAUGGCUUCCGGUGAUGAAUUCCCCUCCGGCAGGGUGUCGGAACGGAGUCUAGAUUGGUUUUCAUGGCUAUAGACGCUUGCCGCGGCGGAACUUCUGAUCUAGUGUUAUUUCUGGGGGCUUCUCUAUUUAUAGGAUUUUUUGGCGUUGGUUUCACACUAAGACGAGUCUCGAGAUGAGCACAACCCACCACGCCUCGGGCUGGGCUCCAGGCGCGCCCUGGUGGGUUGUGCCCUCCUCGUGGCUCUUCUGGCCCUCCCAUGAAGCUUCGGGGGUCUCUUUUGUUCAAAAAAAAUAUUCAAAAAGUUUCAGCCCAUUCCGAGAAUUUUAUGUCUGCACAAAAAACAACACCACGGUAGUUUUGCUGAAAACAGCGUCAGUCCGGGUUAGUUUCGUGCAAAUCAUACCAAAACCAUAUAGAAUUGUUGUAACAUGACAUGAAUACUUCAUAAAUUAUAGAUACGUUGGAGACGUAUCAACCCUCUGUCACCGCCGCUGCCACAGCACGGGCCGCUACGUCGCCCGGUAUCGCCGCCGCCACACCGCCAGGGCAGCCAAUUGCCGCAUCCGGAACUCCCACGCCGCGUUGCCCCGUGCUAGCUGCCGAUGCACUGCCUCCCCAUACCGCACCUCGCCGUUUAGCGUCACACGUGUCAGUGACAUGCGGGGCCUACGCCAUUGUAACUAAAAAAAAUAAACAUCCAUUGCAACUAAAAAUAAAAAUAAACAUAUUUUUACAGAAAAGAGGUUUACAGGAAAUGAGAAAAGUUGUUGUCUGCCAACUUCUCGUAAAUUAUACGGUCAAUCCGUAAUAUUUUUUUAUGGGAAGAUUUUUAGAGGAGCUAUUGGAGUUGCUCUAAUACUUUAUUUUUUUUGAGAAACACAAUUAUUAAUUAUUUUCCGAGGUGCAAGAUUAUUAUUCCACCCAAAUUGCUGCAAUUUUUGUACAUUCCAGCCAAAUUUUGCAUGGGGUCAGAGUCAGACGGCCGGCUUUUUUUAGGGAAGAGUCAUACUCAUACGGCCGGCUGCCUCUUCCUUGUUGGUCCUCUCGGGUCUUGGCCCACCACGAGAGUGUACAGCGCACCAUGACGGGAAGAAGAGACCAGGGGCGCGCCUCCCGACGCAACAGGGAGUUAAUAAAAUGCAGUCUGGUCAGGUCCAGCGUCAAAUCCGCCGCGCACUGGGUCCCGCCUCGUCACUCCCUCCCAAGCCCCCCAACUUCUUUUUGUCAACUUGUUCCGCCUUCUCUCCCAGCCUCGCUCGUAGCUUCGCAGCCCUCCCGGCCAACGACCCUCGCCGGCGAGGCGCACCGCGCGGGAGCCAAAAUGGCCGCGGCGGAGGCCGAGGCUUUCUCCAUACGGUACCCUACUCUCGUCUUGCAUCCGCUUGUUUUCUCGGGACACGCGGCUGAUGCAUGCUGACCUGUUCGACCGAAUGCCGCAGGGGGUUCGCCGCCAGGAUGCGGGCCGUGGACGCGGCCAAGUGCUGGCCAUUCGGAGGCUCCGAGGACGGGGACUCGGAGACGCCGCAGCUCCCGCCAAUGGACCCGACGCCGCGGUCGCGCUGGUGGGCCGACGAGCUUGCGGCGUUGCGGGCGCUGCCGGGUGUCUGCGCUGCGGGCGGAGACUUCGCCGUGGGUGGUGGCAUGGGAGAUGGUUUGGGGAAGGCGACGAAGAGGAAGGGAUCUCGCGGGAGCGGCGGUGCCGAGAGGGCUAAGAGGCGGCGGAGAGCGCUCCAGUAUAGCCUCUUUCUGAAGCACAAGGUACGCUUGGUGCCCCCGCUUUGCUUGCCCUUGCCCCGAGUAUUCGCGCUAGUAGCCGUUCUCUGGGUUCAACUUCAUAUAUGAUGUUCAGUUUAGUACUAGCUUUUAGGAAGGCCCUUGUUACAUUGGUAAUUUAAUGUCAUUUGCUUGCUCUAUGUUUCUGCUGGUAGACAUAAACAGUGAACACAAUGCGUCCAACAAGACCCACAUUAUGUAGCACCGCGGUUAAAAUUUCUGCUGCAAUGUGCCUGUUUUAGCCAUUUGAAGGUGGAGUGGUGGACAUUGGAAGUAGAUGUUUAAUCCAUAGGAUUUAGAGGUAGUAAUCCAAUACCUUGAUUAAUUGAACGAAAAACCACACCCUGCAUCGCCCUCCCCGGAUGGUGGUUGCCGGGCUUGUUCUGGCCCGCAGCGACGGCGAAGGAUAGGUCCACAAGCGGCGGCUUGAGCCGACAGGGGCUUGGUGCUGGCGGUUGGCCGCAUUGGUGGUCCGUCAGCCGACAGCUCCCCAUCGGCGCGACAUCAGGACCUGUCGCCAGCGUCUGUAUGGCAAUGAAGGCAUGGUUCCUGCUCCCUCGGCGGCCGGGGUGAUACACAGCAAAUUAUAGGGGUGGCCUGAUCUUCAUGAUUGGACAGGGAUUCAUGGAUGAACACGAGGAACAAGGGAGGAAUAGGAUUAAGAGGGACACACGCAAGGAUAAGGUUCACAACAAAAGUACUAACUCAAAUCGUAAGGUCAAUGCGAGAGGAACCUCAAGAUCCAAUAACAAGCAAAUGAAAGAAAAAACAUGGCGGUAGUUCAUCCCUAAAUCUCCAUGAGAAAUGGAGGGCUUGAGAGAUAGUUCGUCCCUAAUUGGAAGAGAGGAGGCGUUGUAAUCCAGAAGGAUUCAUCACCACAUAGAGGUCUUGUAAGCCGGUUGGAUUCUUCUCUGCAUAGGACGCCUUGAUCCCCUUGGGGUAGGUAUAUUGAGCAAAGCUCUCCCAAGUUGUUUGUGUAUACUUUGCUAACACUAGAUCUAUUGAGGGGCAUGGUAUUUAUAGUCUAGGACGAAAGGGUACGGGGAGGAGAUACACGGGCGCUACCCAAAAAAUGUGCAUAAACAGUACUACCGGACAAUCCAGGUUGGGGGCGGAAAGUCCGGUUGUGCUAUCCUUUGGCGCCAUUUUGCACUGCUGGACAGUCCGGGGCGCAGGGACCAGACAGUCCGGAUGUGGAGGUGUAGUUGCACGUUCGGAGAAAUGACUGGUAGUUCGCGAAUUCGUCCGGAGGAAAUAUACGGUUUUUGGUUUUCGCCCGGUGAUUUCCCAGACUAUCUGCUGGAUUCGUCCGGGCAAAACAUAGACGUUUUGGGGUCACGCAGGUGGUUGCCGAACUGUCUGGUAGUGCACCACGAAUACUUCCCUUUUUUCCUUUCCUUCUUCCUCGAGUCUUCGCUCCUCACUUGGGUCUUGGGCUUCUUACUUGCUUCUCCUUGGUACUUGCCUUUGUACCUAAGCAUGCAUAAGGUGUCGGCUUGAGGUAGUAGCCAGAUCUCAUUCAAACGCAAAGGUAGCUCAAAGAGGAGUGAACUCACCUUGGUUUAUAUAGCGUGUACACGAGCUCUUGUCAUUGGUCAACCUGGCCUUGGCAAUGAAUCCAUGGUGAUGUCGGUGGGAUGCUCCUCAUCAUGUUGUGGCGCUAGUCCCUGCAAGGGCAUUGAUGUGUGGGUCCUCUCCUCCCCACCGCCAUCGCCUAUGUCAGCGGCGGGGUCUCUCAUCCACCUCUCUCAUCCACAAUUCCCUAUUGUCUCGUCUCUUGAGCCGAACAUAACACGCCAAUGUUGGCCUGGGAUCCCUGGGACUUCGGCGUUCCAGAGCGGUGCCUGCAGGUGGUCCAUGAGGUGUGCUUGGUGUGUGGUGGUUGUUUAGGCUGGCCGUGUGGGGUUGGCCAGCGUCUGGCAGGGGGUAGUCGAUGGUGUUGUUGUCGUGGUAGGCUCAUGUUGGACUUAAUGCUAGGCGUAUGGUGGCCUCUGUUGCCGGCGUGGUGUGCGAACCAGGUUCUUGGGCUAACACUAUUGUAGGCAGUGUCAGGGUUCUAUUGAUGGCUCAUCAUGGAGCUGCGCCAUUGCGUGUGUUAUUGCCGCGGCGCUUCAGGCGAAACCCUGCUUGAACUUGUCGGUGUCGGAGAGGAGGGCUGCCCUCGAGCAUCGUCUGAUUGGUGGUGUCAUCUAGGAGCCCAGAUUCACCCCCAACCCUCGUGAUCUGGUUCCCUAAGUGAAAAACAUGAUUUGGCUUGCCAAACCAAAUUGUCGUGGCGCAGAUGACAUUGGAAGUUGGGGGCGAAUCUGGGCUCCUCUAAAAACAUGAGCUGGUUCCCUUUGUUCUAAGCGUUGUUCUUAGAGGUCUGACCCUAGCUUAGUGCGUGAACUGGUGACACUCGCCUUGGCUCUAGCUGGUAGAAUCUAGGUGCACCUACAAGGCUGCAACAUGCAAAUGCGGUUACCUUGGACGUCAUGGGUAGUGAGGAUCGCGGAGGAUGGGUCCCGUGUCGUGGCGUCUUGGAAGCAUGGGGCCACACAACAAGUAUCGGCUGAUGAUUGCAGGCGUAGGUUGCGACCAACGAGGGAUAUGGCAAGGUGUGGUGAUGUAGCAUUCAAGAUGCCAGCAGCGAUUCUAGGGCCUUGGCACCAUUGUAGUGUGAGGCCGGCGGUCCGUGACACCAUCAACUUUUGCCUUCUCUAAUUUGGGAGGGGCCCAUUUUUCCCCUUCUCUGCAAAGUUGGAUUCUCUCUUCUCGUGGUGGGGGAUGCGUCAUGUGCACUUUUAUGGAUGGUUGCUAGGCCAGGGUUUGUUUUGUGGUCUCGGUUGUAAUGUUGGCCCAACAGCCGGUCUUGUGUUGAGUGGCUACUUGUUUCGGCUUAGUCUUAGGCUUGUACAGUUGUAACCAUAUUCUUUCUAUCCGUGCAUUGAGGGGCAAGCUUUGUGUGUUCCCGGAAAAAAAAUCUACAGAAUUUAUGUUCCCGUUCUUUUGAGGGUAGAACAUGCCAAUGGUGCAUAUAGUGUGUACUUACCUACUUGAUGAACUGUAGAAAGGAAUAAGCCAAUUUUACCCUCCCAGACCACUUACUGCCUUUGUAAUGCCCUGACCAAACCCACUAGUUCCUGGUCAUUGCGCCUGGGAUCUAGAAUGGCCCCAGAGAAUUAGCCAGAGUGAGGACAAAGUUGCGUUCAAGGAGGGUGUUAUUUAUUUACCAUUGCUGGCUAUGAUGCCAUUUCACGGUGAAUUUUGGUCAAUUAAGCUACUGACAUGGCAGAAUUACCUAGAAAUUUUGACUGCCCUGUGGUGUUGACAUGCUUUUCUAAGUUCAAGGGGUCGAAUAUCUGGUUUUUAAUCAAAGUAUAGUUUUGAUUUUGUUUUGGGCCUAUUGUAAGAUUAGAGAAUCAUGGUUUCUAGGACUGUUAAGUUACAUGUUCUAGAUUUAGGUUAGUUAUCCACAUUUACUUUUCCAUAAUUUUAAACAUGCGCGUUGCUCUUUCUUUGAAAACCUGUACAAAGAAACAUUGAAAGUGCAUACCACAUAGUAUUAUUUAUUGGUCGGAUUAUAUAGAAGUUCUAUUGACUAACCACCUAAUUCCAUGUACGAGUUUCCUCUACAUGGUCAGCUUACCUUGUUAUUCUCAGCUAAUAAUAUGUAAGAUGUUUUCUUUAACAGGAGAGAACCUCUAAACUCCAACCAGCAUCUCGCUUACUUCAACACAUGCUCCAUAAGGGUUUGUUGAGAAAACGAAAAGGCUGUACUAUUCCUACACUAAGAGAACUCGUUAUGAGGAAGAAAUUGCAAGAGCGACAGGAUCAGAUGUCAACCCACAGAAACAGCUUGAAGAAACAGUCCGUGAGAGGAAUGGAUCACGAACGAAGCAUAAAAAUCAGCAGGCCAACUGAUUAUCCUGUAAAUCUUGGCUGUGAAGUAGUGAAGCAUGUUGCAUGCCCACCCAAGGAUGAUAUUUUUGGAGAUCUACCUCUUUUAGAAAGCUCAAAAGUUAUGUUUCAUACUGGAGUUGACAUACUCCCUACUAUUAUAGAAGAUUCUUUUGUAGAAAAUCAAAAUGGGCCAGAUGCCAUAUCAGAAACUGAACCAUUGGAACUAAUGCCUAUUGCUGACAUUUCAAAGCAAACAUCACCCCCCUUUGAAGACUCAGUGAAGAAGGAACAGAGUCCUGACAAAGGGUCAACAUGCAUCUUACUCAAUGAUGCAGGAAGGAAUCAUUCUUCCUCUGCUGAGUUUGAUGGUCUGCUAAAUCAUGCUAGUGUUACCAUGGCGAAAACUUCUCUUCCUGAAAUGCAGCUGAAAUCUACCGAUGUUCCUGCUUUAAGUUCUUAUUGUAACGAGGGAGCAAAAUCUGGUACUAGCAACUGUGCACAUGGUCGUUUCUACACAAACACAGACUGCUUUCAGGAAAUGGAAAGGCCUGGUACCAGUUCGGUGGCCGUGAGAACCAGAACUGAGGCAAUUAAAAAAGAAGAUGCAGCAAUCCAUGGUGUAAACAAUGCAAGUGUCACCAUGGCGAAAACUAGUCUUCCUGAAACGCAGCUGGAAUCUACUCAUGUUCCUGCUUUAAGUUCUUGUUCAGAGGCCGUGAGAACCAGAACUGAGGCAAUUAAAAAAGAAGAUGCAGCAGUCCAUGGUGUAAACAAUGCAAGUGUCGCCAUGGAGAAAACUAGUCUUCCUGAAACGCAGCUGGAAUCUACUCAUGUUCCUGCUUUAAGUUCUUAUUGUAACGAUGGAGCAAAAUCUUGUCCUAGCAACCAUCCGCAGGGUUGUUUCUAUACAAACACAAACUGCUUUCAGGAAAUGAAAAGACCUGGUACCAGUUCAGCGGCCGUGAGAAUCAUAACUGCAGCAGUUACAGAAGAUAGAGAUGCAACUGUCCAUGGUCCAAACAAUACAAGUGUCACCAUGGCGAAAACUUGUCUUCCUGAAAUGCAGCUGAAAUCUACACAUGUUCCUGGUUUAAGUUCUUAUUGUACCGACGGAGCAAAAUCUGGUUCUAGCAACCAUCCGCAGGAUCGUUUCUACACAAACACAAACUGCUUCCAGGAAAUGGAAAGACCUGCUACUAGUUCAGCGGCCGUGAGAACCAGAACGGAAGCAGUUGCAGAAGAUAGAGAUGCAGCUGGCCAUGGUCUAAACAAUGUAAGUGUCACCAUGGCGAAAACUUGUCUUCCUGAAAUGCAGCUGAAAUCUACUCAUGGUCCUGUUUUAAGUUCUUAUAGUAAGGAUGGAGCAAAAUCUGGUUCUAGCAACCAUCCGCAGGGUCAUUUCUACACAAACACAAGCCGCUUUCAGGAAAUGACAAGACCUGGUACCAGUUCAAUGUCUGUGAGAACCAGAACUGAAGCAAUUGAAAAAGAUAGAGAUGCAGCAGUCCAUGGCAAGAAGAGCACUGGUAUCUCUGGUCGACCCGAAUACCAUCCUUCAGGUGAAGGCAAUCUAUCGUCCUCGAUUAUGUCACAGAGGACUGUCAAUGCAGGAAUAAACGCAGAUGGCAUGUCUUCCUGCAGGAGUAUGCCUGCCCAGGAAUAUGCCCCUGCUUCUGUUCCUUGUAAAGUUGCAAGCAAUGUGUAUCAUGAAAGUAGAAAGUCUGUGGAUACAUGCACAGCAUUAUCAAUGGAUGACCAAGGUAGCUGGUACUCAAAAAAUUACUCAGGUCGCUCUCCGGCAAGUAUUAGUUUGCCUUUUAUGGAGCUACCUGGCCUUGAAAAGAUGGAGAUCUCAAGCUAUGAUCCGAGGACAGGUGAAAAUAACUUUAUGAAUGGACGAUCAAUGAACAUAGUAAGAUGCCAACAACAGAAGCAGGUGAGUGGCAUGACCAGUACUAUGCAAAGUCAGAAUAAGAUUGGUUUCAGCGAUUCUCAAGCUGGGAAAAAGGCCCAAGAUGGUUUUGUGAGACGUGAUAAUUGUCAUUCGUACCAACCCACCAUGCGCUUAAUGGGCAAGACAGUCUCACUUUGUAAAGAUAGCAUGGAGCAGGAGGUACCAACUACAGGGAAGUGGAUUGACAAAAAUGUUAUUGGAGACCGUCCCCCAUCAGUUUCAUGCCAGUUGCCCCCAAAGAAGGUGUUCCCUUAUCAAGAUUCUGUGAUACCAAGAACUCAUGUUCAUGAAUCUUCAGAUACUUUGCCAAGGAUUCCCAACAGUACUUUUGCAGAGGCAAGGCCUAUUGUCAGUGAUGCUCAAAAUCAUAGGCUGACACAGACUAAUAUUGUUUCUUCAGCAGUUAAAGAUUACACUUGGAAUUCAGGCAGUCAGUUUGGCCGGCAAGCUCAGGUAAACAAAGAGUAUGUCAUAAGUAACUCAAGGACCAGGCAUAUGGAGUUGUCUCAGCCACCUGAGUUGAUAAGCAUUCAUCGGAACCAAUACUUGCACUUAGGCAAUCCUGCAUCAAGCAUGUAUGCAGAAGAACACACUUUUGUUGGUUCAGCAGUAAAUCGAUCUUCUCCUUCAUUUCCACAGUGGUCAUUAAAUACAAGCAUGCAGGGGAAGUACCAAAAUCCCACUUCAUUGGUUUACGAAGAUCCUAGGUCUGUUCGUACCCACCAACCUCCCUGCCAAGUACCUGGAGCAAAUCUAUUUUCAGCAUCAAACAUAUCUUUUCAUGACUACGGUACAAAAAAUGCCGAGUCCAGAAACUCUUAUCAGCGAGCACAUCCUUCUCUUCCAAGUAGUGCGGCAAGUAAGUUCCAUGACUACUGCACAAAAAAUGUCGAUUCCAGAUACUCUUAUCAGGGAGCACAUCCUUCUCUUUCAACUAGUGUGGCAAGUAAGUCUAUUUGGGCAAGUAAGUCUACUCGCGAUGUUCUGAAUAUAGAUGGCAGGAAGGGUGUUUCCCUAGUUGAUGAAAGAAGCAAGAGACCAGGUUGUGCAGAUAAUGUUUCACAGCAACCUGCAAAGAGGCAGCUUGUUGCAGACAAACCGGAGUUAACAAGUUCGAUGUUCCCAUGCAUGGAGAAAUACUCGUUUGGCUGGUCAGUAAAUGAUACAGUUGGCCCGCGGAUGCUUGACUUCAGUAACAAAAAUAGCAGGACAUGCCACACAAAUAUCAAAAAAUGAAAAAACAAUAACUUAGGGGGGAUGCCAGUUCCAGUUGUUGAAGCAAGAUCAAGGACUGUAAGCAUGUUUGCAGGAGCUAAAAGCACGCUAAAGAACGAUCAUUCAAAGAUGCCACAUUCCACUAAAUUUUCAGUUGGUAAUAGUGGAAUGUCAGAAAGAAACAGUGGAGUGUUCCUGUUCCACUUAUUAUUUUGGUAUUCGAAUAGUCGGCAAAAGGGAAGCUGUGGUAGCCUUUUCUGCAUUUCUCAAGAUGUUAGUGUAGCAAUCAGUCGAUUGCUUGUAAAAACUUUGUGGGCAAAUGUGCAAGCAUAUUUUUCUUAGAACAGUACUCCCUCCGUAAACUUUUAUUAGACGUUUUAGGUCACGCUUACAUACCAUGGCAUACCACAAGCACGGGUUAAAUUGCCAAAUGUUGUCGAUUCGAGUAUUUUCUGGGGCCUCCUGUUCGUACCGGUAUGCGGUCUGGCGCAACACAUACUCCUUCCGUCCCAAAAUAAGUGGCACAUUGAACUAAAACAGCAACACUUAUUUUGAAAGCGGAGAGAGUACUAUCAGUUCAGAUCUGUAAUCUGCAUAGUCUUCGGUCCAGAAAGUAAAGUUAGGGUUUAGGGUUUCGGGUUUAAGGUUGGUAGAUUCACUGAUCAGCACUUCUCUGCGCAACAAGCCAGGGAAGACAACGACAGGCGCAUGGAAAGCAGGAUUUCUUUCAGAAAGCUGCGCCCACUGACUCUGAACUGAACUGAAAACGGAAACUUCUGAUGCAUGUCACCUAAGGUAGCCCUCUGGUCGUGCAACCUUGCAAAAGGGUGCUGGCGAAACGUGCAAUCGCCUGAGACCAUCCAGUUUGUUCUUGCUUUCCUUGGGCCAAGAGUAAGGGAGACUUCGCAUCGUAUCUGCAAGGGUUCCUUCCUUGCCCCCCUUUAAACCCCAGUUUUAAACUGCCCCAACACAAGUAUAAAACCAUCAGGUGUGUCCCUUGUCAUCCACACCGUCCCAUACCGACAGACCGACCGACCGAGGACAUCAAGAAACCUCGGAGAAAGCCUCUCGCAAGCCGCGGCAGCGAACCAUGGGUGUUCUUGGUGCCCUUGCCAGGCAUUUGGAUUCCCUUGUUGGGUAAGCAGAUCACACCUGUUUAUUCAUGUUGCUGUUUUUUUCCGUUUCAAAGAAAAUGUUGCUGCUUUUGUUCAUUUCCUUGCGAACUUCGAGACUUGCACUCUAAUAAAAUUCGUGUUUCUCCUAUGUUGCACUUCACAGCCCAGGAAUCAUGCUGCUUUAUCCGCUGUAAGUGAUUCAUCAGAAACAAUGGUUGGUUUGGGAGCUAUUUCAAAACUGUGCUCUGAAUUCUAACAAUGUUUGGUUUUCUUGCACGAUCAGGUACGCGUCGAUGCGCGCGAUCGAGAGCCCUUCUUCCUUGGAUGAUCAGCAAUGGCUCACCUACUGGGUGCUGUACUCCCUGAUCACCCUCUUUGAGCUCUCAUGCUGGAAGGCUCUCCAGUGGUAACCAUGACUCUUCUCUCCCCUGCUUGAUUAGUUCAGUUAUUGUUCGUUCCUCGGGCACUGAAUUCCUCAAGAUUUCGCUCUGCCUAUGUAUAUAUGUACGUAUGUUUCAGGCUCCCUCUGUGGCCAUACAUGAAGCUCCUCUUCUGCUGCUGGCUGGUGCUGCCGAUCUUCAACGGCGCGGCCUACAUCUACGAGACGCACGUCCGGCGCUACUUCAAGAUCGGGCAGUACGUGAGCCCCGGCUACAGCGAGAGGCAGAGGAAGGUGCUGCAGAUGAUGAGCCUCGACGCGCGCAAGUCCGUCGAGCGCUUCAUCGAGACGCACGGCCCCGGCGCUCUGGAGAAGAUCAUCCAAGCCGUGAGUCGUCGUCCUUGCUCCAUACACUAUCUGCAUAUAAGCUCUUUUGUUUUUCUGAAUGUUCAUGUCUUUUUUUCCCUCCUUCCUGAUGCGAUCGUUGACUUGUGCAUGCAGGCUGAACAGGAAGCCAAGAGAGCCUAGGUUUAUUUAGCGUGUGGUGAGGUGGAAGGCAUUCUUUCAACCGGGAGAAGAGAAACGAGUGGAAAUGAAAAUGGCUGCCGUGUGCUGUGAUCAAUAUGCUUCAGCAGCUGUUAUCCUUGUGCCGUGUGUUUGUAUUUGAUCUGUUGGUUGGACUUGGCAAGAUACCUUGCUGUACAUAAGAGAUGAUGAAUGAAACAUUCAGGCUAUACAUGUGAAAUGUGAUGUGAUGUACUCAACACGAAAUGGAGCACGACCACAACUAGUCUCUGAAUAAAUGAAAACCAGAAUUUAACUGUCCUGAACACAUCCCUUUCUCUCCACUGAACACCUUAAUCCUUGUGAUGAAUGAAAACCAAUUAUUGUCUAUACCUGUUACACAACUGCAUGCGUAUUCAUCGCUAAAUGAAAAAAAACAAGAACAGACUAAUAUACGCGCGCUUACAGAUCGAAAAGAAAUCCUUUUCCAUGCCCUUGUUGGCGAUAGGAAAUGGGACUUGUACAUCUUUGCAUAUGGGAUCAA